rnacentral:rRNA from 1 species
UACGUAGGGUGCAAGCGUUGUCCGGAAUUAUUGGGCGUAAAGAGCUCGUAGGCGGUCUGUCGCGUCUGCUGUGAAAACUCGGGGCUUAACCCCGGGCCUGCAGUGGGUACGGGCAGACUAGAGGCAGGUAGGGGAGAACGGAAUUCCCGGUGUAGCGGUGAAAUGCGCAGAUAUCGGGAGGAACACCGGUGGCGAAGGCGGUUCUCUGGGCCUGUACUGACGCUGAGGAGCGAAAGCGUGGGGAGCGAACAGG